rnacentral:rRNA from 1 species
CAGUCGCCGCGGUAAUACAGAGGGUGCAAGCGUUAAUCGGAUUUACUGGGCGUAAAGGGCGCGUAGGUGGUUAUGUAAGUGAGAUGUGAAAUCCCCGGGCUCAACCUGGGAACUGCAUCUUAUACUGCGUAGCUGGAGUGCAGUAGAGGGUAGUGGAAUUUCCGGUGUAGCGGUGAAAUGCGUAGAUAUCGGAAGGAACACCAGUGGCGAAGGCGGCUACCUGGACUGACACUGACACUGAGGCGCGAAAGCGUGGGGAGCAAACAGGAUUAGAGACCCCCGUAGUCCCUGUCUCUUAUAC